GGCUCCGUGGUCAAGCGGUUAAGACAUCGCCCUUUCACGGCGGUAACACGAGUUCGAUUCUCGUCGGAGUCACUA
rnacentral:tRNA from 1 species